UCUUUACAGGUCUGUGUGGUAGUUGGUUGUUUAGGCUAUAGACUUGUUCACAUUUGUGUCACGGUGGACAUGAGUGAAAGGUCCCAAAAGACUCAACGCUGAUAAUAUUUCAUCUUCUUCUAUAUUUGCAUAAAUCAAAUUUAAACCUUGUUUUCUCACCCAAUGGUUGGUGUCAGCGCAACAGAGCUAAGAUUUGACAUUUACUUGGUUUAUUCUAGUUCAUAAACUCUGAAAACAUUUAAAAAUCACACUCCUGCUGUGCACCCGUUUUUGUGGGCAGUACCAAGAUCAUAAGGCGCAUAAACCAACCUCGUGUUAAGCCAACACCUCCGUCUCCUGCAGAGGAGCUCCGCAAUGGGGAAAUCCACAGAGACUGCGCCCUACAGAACCUUGCAGCGCAGAUGAAGGCACUCCCUAAAGUUGUGGGCUGGCCGUCACCCUCUGCGACAUCCAUUCCCGUCUCCACAGCGGAUUCUUCCCGUGAGACGGGGUCGGUGUCAGCUGAACAAGCAGCAGCAGCAGCAGCAGCAGCAGCAGCAGGCUGGUCAUGCAGAAACUGCAUGUCCUGCAGCUCCCCAAACCCCUCGUCCUCCUCCCCCUCAUCAUUAUCCACAACCUCCACGUCAGCCUCAUCCAGGCCGUCGGGAGCGUCUGGAUCCCGGCCCAAAUCCUCCAGCACGGCACCCGUCUGGGAAAACAGGCUGGGUGUAUGUCUCCACCACCGUCAUACCCAUAAACUCUUGGGUCAGCCGCUUUAGGUAAUCCUGCAGCAGGGCAUCGUAGCAGCGCGGGACCAGCCUCUGGGCUCCUUCCACUGAAGCUCUGCCGCGGUCUUCA